rnacentral:rRNA from 1 species
ACUCAAAUGAAUUGACGGGGGCCCGCACAAGCGGCGGAGCAUGUGGCUUAAUUCGAUGCAACGCGAAGAACCUUACCUGGGUUUGACAUGUACGGAAAUCUGGCAGAGACGUCAGGUCCGCAAGGGUCGUACACAGGUGGUGCAUGGUUGUCGUCAGCUCGUGUCGUGAGAUGUUGGGUUAAGUCCCGCAACGAGCGCAACCCUCGUCCUAUGUUGCCAGCGCGUAAUGGCGGGGACUCAUAGGAGACUGCCGGGGUCAACUCGGAGGAAGGUGGGGAUGACGUCAAAUCAUCAUGCCCCUUAAGUCCAGGGCUGCACACAUGCUACAAUGGCCGAUACAAAGGGCUGCGAUACCGCAAGGUGGAGCGAAUCCCAAAAAGUCGGUCUCAGUUCGGAUUGGGGUCUGCAACUCGACCCCAUGAAGUCGGAGUCGCUAGUAAUCGCAGAUCAGCAACGCUGCGGUGAAUACGUUCCCGGGCCUUGUACACACCGCCCGU